UACGAAGGGGGCUAGCGUUGUUCGGAAUCACUGGGCGUAAAGGGUGCGUAGGCGGUCGCGCAAGUCGGAUGUGAAAUCUCAGGGCUCAACCCUGAAACUGCAUUCGAUACUGCGUGGCUAGAGUGCUGGAGAGGAGACUGGAAUUUACGGUGUAGCAGUGAAAUUCGUAGAUAUUCGCAAGAACACCAGUGGCGAAGGCGGCUCACUGGCCCGGUACUGACGCUGAGGUGCGAAAGCGUGGGGAGCAAACAGG
rnacentral:rRNA from 1 species